rnacentral:rRNA from 1 species
UACGUAGGGGCAAGCGUUGUCCGGAUUCAUUGGGCGUAAAGAGCGUGUAGGCGGCCAGGUAGGUCGGUUGUGAAAACCUGGAGGCUCAACCUUCAGAGGUCGACCGAAACCAUCUGGCUAGAGUCCGGGAGAGGAGAGUGGAAUUCCGUGGUGUAGCGGUGAAAUGCGCAGAUAGUCAGGAAGAACACCCGUGGCGAAAGCGGCUCUCUGGAACGGUACUGGACGCUGAGACGCGAAAGCGUGGGGAGCAACAGG